ACCAGACUCCUACGGGAGGCAGCAGUGGGGAAUAUUGCACAAUGGGGGGAACCCUGAUGCAGCGACGCCGCGUGGGUGAAGGAGCACCUCAGUGCGUAAAGCCCUAUCGGCAGGGAAGAAACAGACGGUACCUGACUAAGAAGCCCCGGCUAACUACGUGCCAGCAGCCGCGGUAAUACGUAGGGGGCAAGCGUUAUCCGGAUUCACUGGGUGUAAAGGGAGCGUAGACGGCGACGCAAGUCUGGAGUGAAAGCCCGGGGCCCAACCCCGGGACUGCUCUGGAAACUGCGUCGCUGGAGUACGGGAGGGGCAGGCGGAAUUCCUGGUGUAGCGGUGAAAUGCGUAGAUAUCAGGAGGAACACCGGCGGCGAAGGCGGCCUGCUGGACCGUGACUGACGUUGAGGCUCGAGAGCGUGGGGAGCAAACAGGAUUAGAUACCCCCGUAUC
rnacentral:rRNA from 1 species